AAAACUAGAAGACGAUAGGAAGCAUUUACUCAAAGUUUGAAGUGAUGUGAUGACGUCGGUGUUACUUCUGAUGUGUUUCUGCCUUAUCCAUCAUAAUUGCAUGAUUGAACCCGUCAAAAACACUCCGGUCAAAAAGAAAGACGUAGGAGCUAAAUCAUCCUGGUCAAACAUGCUAAAAUGCAAGGAAUCCAAGACAAAAGAUUUGUGCAUUACAGAAAAUCAAGCUUUGCUCUCUAAUGCUGACGAUUUAUCUAGGCUCACAACUCCAGAAAUACCACCCAUACCACCCAACGCAGGAAAUU
rnacentral:lncRNA from 1 species